GGGGAAUUUGCUUGGAGAGAUGGAAAUGGUGUUUUGAAUGCUCUUUCUCUCCUUAUCUUCUAACCUCUUGUCCUUUAUUGUCUCUUAUAGUUCAUUGUGUCCUGAAUCCCUGCUAGCAUCUUUGCGAAUUUUCCAGUUCUCAUGGAAGAAGUUCCUAUCGCUAACUUGGCUGUAGCAUGGACUUAAGACAACUUUACAUGUGCUCUGUGAUACUCUGGAGCCCUUAGAGAGAUGGCGGGCAAGCAGAGUCUGACUGAGAGUAACAAGGUUCUGGACUCCUUGGGAAGCGCUGCCUAUGAAGUGAUACCUAAGAUCAGGAAGGGAGACCUUCCACUGAGGAAAGCACCCCUGGGUCUCUGCAUAUCUGAAGCUGUUUUUGCUGUUUCCGUGUUCCCCUCCAGUCUGUAACAGAAGUUGAUGUUCAACAGCUGCCUCAGGAUUAGCCUCUUAGAGCUAACACCCUGGUGAGAGGGGGAAGAGAAGGUUAC
rnacentral:lncRNA from 1 species